ACGCUGGCGGCAGGCUUAACACAUGCAAGUCGAACGGUAACAGGAAUUAGCUUGCUAAUUUGCUGACGAGUGGCGGACGGGUGAGUAAUGCUUGGGAAUCUGGCUUAUGGAGGGGGAUAACUACGGGAAACUGUAGCUAAUACCGCGUAAAAUCUUCGGAUUAAAGGGUGGGACUUUCGAGCCACCUGCCAUAAGAUGAGCCCAAGUGGGAUUAGGUAGUUGGUUAGGUAAAGGCUGACCAAGCCGACGAUCUCUAGCUGGUCUGAGAGGAUGACCAGCCACACUGGAACUGAGACACGGUCCAGACUCCUACGGGAGGCAGCAGUGGGGAAUAUUGCACAAUGGGGGGAACCCUGAUGCAGCCAUGCCGCGUGAAUGAAGAAGGCCUUCGGGUUGUAAAGUUCUUUCGGUGACGAGGAAGGUUGAUAGUUUAAUAGCCUAUCAAAUUGACGUUAAUCACAGAAGAAGCACCGGCUAACUCCGUGCCAGCAGCCGCGGUAAUACGGGGGGUGCGAGCGUUAAUCGGAAUAACUGGGCGUAAAGGGCACGCAGGCGGUGACUUAAGUGAGAUGUGAAAGCCCCGAGCUUAACUUGGGAAUUGCAUUUCAUACUGGGUCGCUAGAGUACUUUAGGGAGGGGUAGAAUUCCACGUGUAGCGGUGAAAUGCGUAGAGAUGUGGAGGAAUACCGAAGGCGAAGGCAGCCCCUUGGGAAUGUACUGACGCUCAUGUGCGAAAGCGUGGGGAGCAAACAGGAUUAGAUACCCUGGUAGUCCACGCUGUAAACGAUGUCGAUUUGGGGAUUGGGCUUUGAGCUUGGUGCCCGUAGCUAACGUGAUAAAUCGACCGCCUGGGGAGUACGGCCGCAAGGUUAAAACUCAAAUGAAUUGACGGGGGCCCGCACAAGCGGUGGAGCAUGU
rnacentral:rRNA from 1 species